UGGGGAAUCUUCCGCAAUGGACGAAAGUCUGACGGAGCGACGCCGCGUGAGUGAAGAAGGUUUUCGGAUCGUAAAACUCUGUCUUUUGGGGCGAACGUGAGUAUGGUGAACAAUCAUAGUCAGUGACGGUACCAAAGGAGGAAGCCACGGCUAACUACGUGCCAGCAGCCGCGGUAAUACGUAGGUGGCAAGCGUUGUCCGGAAGUUAUUGGGCGUAAAGAGCGCGUAGGCGGGAUAGUCAGUCUGAUUGUAAAGUGCGGGGCUCAACCCGUGAUGGCAAUGGAAACAGCUAUUCUUGAGUGCAGGAGAGGAAAGUGGAAUUCCCAGUGUAGCGGUGAAAUGCGUAGAUAUUGGGAGGAACACCAGUGGCGAAGGCGACUUUCUGGACUGUGUCUGACGCUGAGGCGCGAAAAGCCAGGGGGAGCGAACGGGGAUUUAGAUACCCCCGGUAGUCCUGGCCGUAAAACGAUGGGUACUAGGUGUGGGAGGUAUCGA
rnacentral:rRNA from 1 species